rnacentral:rRNA from 1 species
AGCAGCCGCGGUAAUUCCAGCUCCAAUAGCGUAUAUUAAAGUUGCUGCAGUUAAAAAGCUCGUAGUUGAAUUUCGGGAUCAAUAUGUCGGUCGUGCCUCGGUACGUACUGGCUUAUUGGUUUCUCCUUUCUGAAGAACCAUGAUGUCAUUUAUUUGGUGUCGUGGGAAAUCAGGACUGUUACUUUGAAAAAAUUAGAGUGUUUAAAGCAGGCUCACGCUUGAAUACAUUAGCAUGGAAUAAUGAAAUAGGACGUUUGAUUCUAUUUUGUUGGUUUCUAGGAUCGACGUAAUGAUUAAUAGGGAUAGUUGGGGGCAUUAGUAUUCAAUUGUCAGAGGUGAAAUUCUUGGAUUUAUUGAAGACUAACUACUGCGAAAGCAUUUGCCAAGGAUGUUUUCAUUAAUCAAGAACGAAAGUUAGGGGAUCGAAGACGAUCAGAUACCGUCGUAGUCUUAACCAUAAACUAUGCCGACUAGGGAUCGGAUGAUGUUAAUUUUUUAAUGACUCA